GUGGGAAUACUCAAGUUGGCUGUAAGAGGCGUCCCUGCUAAGGAUGUAGGCCGGGUUACCGGUGCGGAGGUUCGAAUCCUCUUUCCCACGCCA
rnacentral:tRNA from 1 species